CAUGACGUACGCCCAUGAACGUGAACUCAGCCACAGAAGUCUUCAAGAUGGCGGAGGUCUGAUGCGAGUGUCAGCUGGCCCAAGUUGAUAACUCACAUACGUCUAGGUAAGUCGUAUUAUUUUAUUUUUUAUUAUAUUUUAUGACUUUCGCCUCUGUAUUAUAUAUUUGUUGCUUCUUUUGAUGUUCCUUCUAGUAUAUCCUUUGUAUUCAUGACGUGCUCCACGAGUUUUGAACCGGCGGUGCGUUUGAAAAAUAAGAGCGGAGACAGACGCCACGGAUGCUGAUCUUUUUGAGACAGAAGGCAGCACGAACCGGAAGGCUCUAUGCGACAUUCUGCACCUCUAUGAUAAACAGCAAGAGCAGACUGCUGAUGUCAAAGGUACUCCUGUCCUGCACUGGCUUCCCAUAUACAAACGUGAGGAGGACCCACAGUUCUUCAAAGUUUGGAAUAUUAAAGCGUCACCAGAGGCAGACAUCAGCAGCACCUCUGUUGGCAUUCUGACCGUCAGCAACAACACUUAGUACAGCAGUUGUGGUGGAAGAUGAGCUUGUGGUAGGCGACAUUCCUUAAUGGGUAUUUUUUUGAGCGCUAAUGUUUGUAGGGAAAGGGCAGCCUAAGAAAAUACAGUUUUAUGUGGGAAAAGUGUAAAAAAAAAAAAGGCUGAGAAACAAUUUUUGCUUUUCUUGAAAUGUAAGAAUGCUCUUUUUUAUAAAGUUGUAUAAGGAAAUGGUGUAAAAAAGAUUAGUGCUCAUUUUCUGCUUUUCUUGAAGACUGAUUUUUUUUUCUUAACACAAAUUGUGCAGUGUUUUACAUUUUCUAGUACCACAAGUUGUUCAAAUGAACUUGUGUAAGGUGGUUUAAAAAUAAACUUGCAAUUACAAUUCUGCCUCAGUUUUUCUUUUGUAAGAAUGGUCCUGACUAAGAAGGACAAAUAAGACUAGUUUAGACUUCAAAUGAUUAAUUUUGAGUUGAAAUAUAUUAAAGUUUUUUAGUUAAUUAACUAAUGUAUUAAGGUUCAAUAAAAACAAAAUAUUCUAGUUCAGUAAAGUAAGAAUCUUUAAGUUAGUUAAAUAAAAAGUUAUAGUUUACUUUUAGAUAAAUUGUUUUAUUUUAUUCAACUCAAAGAUUUUAAGUUCAGAUAACUUAUACUUUUUAAGUAAGUCAACUUAAAAAUUAUUAUGUAAUCUGUUUCCUCAAAAAUUUUGAGUUCACUGAACUUAUUUGGGUUUACAGUGUGUUAACUGGUUUGAAUCAUCUCUUCAUCCAUUCACCUACCUUAUUGAAAAAAUCAUUUUUUUCUAAGGUAACUCAAUAAGCUCCUGUUGCGGCGCUGUAGUAGAAAAAUAAACAAAAAAGUCUUUAACUCUUCUGGAGGAACAUGAUUUAAAAAAGCAAAAAAACAAACAAAAAAGUCUGGAAUUUGCUAAAAUGUUGAGAGCAAUCCAUGAAUACCGUCUUCAUCUCAAUAGACCCUUUUCAUGUGACAUCAGACAAAAUGCCCUCAUCUCCGUCACUGUGUAAUGUUACUUUCGGUUUAAGGUAUUGAAGUAAUCCUGUCAGCAGAAUACUGGACAGCAUCUUCCCCAAAUGUAUGAGUCGUGGAUCAUUUCUGUCUUACAACACGGUCAAAGGUUGUCAAAGAUUUCAAGUACUUCACUGGAUGCUACUUGUUUGAUCAUGAAGGUAAGUACUAGGCCUGCACAAUGUACCGCAAAUUUAUCGUUAUCGCGACAUCAAGCUGUGCAAUAUCCAUACCGUUAAAAGACGGCGAAAAUCGCAAAUGGUUACCUCAAAUGUGCAAAAACAAACUCAUGGCAGCCUGAAAUAGUGAACAAAGGAAAUUAAUCCCUUUAUGCAUUUAACCAAUCAGAAGGACCCGUUUACGUUUUUGA